rnacentral:lncRNA from 1 species
ACUGCCUCGCUCAGGCUGCCGAUCGGCUCGUUCUCUCUGCGUUGGGACCGCGGAGGGCAUUCGCUGUGUGACUCAGGGCAAGUGUGCGCACCUCUCUGAGCCUCCGCGGCCUUCUCUAGCAAAAUGGUGGAGCCGGUACCCGGCUGUAAGGCCUGUUCUGCCCCACACAGCAGAAAAUGCCCACGAUGCAAUACCAGAGUCUGCAUGGGACCAUUUCAACAACCCUUAGAAGCUGACUCAGCUGUCUCCUGGCCCUGACUUUUCUAAGAUGAGAGGAGCUGGUAGGAACAAUUUGGGAACCCUCAAAGGCUGAGAGUAUCCCACCCACUUCACAGAUGAAGCAAACUGAGGCCCAGAGAAGGGAAAUUACUUGCCCAAGAUCACCCAGCAAGUAAGAAACAGAGCUGGAGAUGAGCUCAGGCCAGCACGGAACCACGCAAACUCCUUCUGUAGGCUUUGUAAAGGAUUGAUGAGAAAAGCAGAUGGUUAAGAGCUCUACAACUUCUGUGAGGUAAAGAAUAUCUGCAGGGCUGGACGUGGCGGCUCUUGCCUGUAAUCUUAGCACUUUGGGAGGCCAAAGUGGGUGGAUUGCUUGAGUCUAUGAGUUCAAGACCAGCCUGGGCAACAUGGUAAAACUCUGUCUCUCUAAAAAAAAAAAAAAAAAAAAAUUAGCUGAGUGUGGUGUUGUGUGCUUGUAGUCCCAGCUACUUUGGAGGCUGAAGCGGAAGGAUCCCUUGGCC